CCUUCGAUAGCUCAGUUGGUAGAGCGGUGGACUGUAGAGGAUUUAAAAGUGGACAUCCAUAGGUCGCUGGUUCAAAUCCGGCUCGAAGGA
rnacentral:tRNA from 2 species